AGCGGCGGACGGGUGAGUAAUGCCUAGGAAUCUGCCUGGUAGUGGGGGAUAACGUUCGGAAACGGACGCUAAUACCGCAUACGUCCUACGGGAGAAAGCAGGGGACCUUCGGGCCUUGCGCUAUCAGAUGAGCCUAGGUCGGAUUAGCUAGUUGGUGAGGUAAUGGCUCACCAAGGCGACGAUCCGUAACUGGUCUGAGAGGAUGAUCAGUCACACUGGAACUGAGACACGGUCCAGACUCC
rnacentral:rRNA from 1 species